rnacentral:rRNA from 1 species
AUUGAACGCUGGCGGCAGGCCUAACACAUGCAAGUCGAGCGAGCGGCGGACGGGUGAGUAAUGUAUGGGGACUCCCCGCUAGGGGGGGAUAACUACUGUAAACGGUGGCUAAUACCGCAUACUCUCUGAUAACCCACAUGGGAUUAGCUAGUAGGUGGGGUAAAGGCUCACAAAGGCAACGAUCCGUAGCUGGUUUGAGAGGACGACCAGCCACACUGGGACUGAGACACGGCCCAGACUCCUACGGAGGCAGCAGUGGGGAAUUUUGGACAAGGGGGGAAACCCUGAUGCAGCCAUCCCGCGUGUAUGAAGAAGGCCUUCGGGUUGUAAAGUACUUUUGGCAGAGAAGCGGUAUCUGCAGAAUAAGCACCGGCUAACUACGUGCCAGCCGCCGCGGUAAUAC